GAUGAACGCUAGCGGCAGGCUUAACACAUGCAAGUCGAGGGGUAUGCCGAUUUAUCGGCAGAGACCGGCGCACGGGUGCGUAACGCGUAUGCAAUCUACCUUUCACAGAGGGAUAGCCCAGAGAAAUUUGGAUUAAUACCUCAUAGUAUAGCGGUUUCGCAUGAAACCACUAUUAAAGUCACAACGGUGAAAGAUGAGCAUGCGUCCCAUUAGCUAGUUGGUAAGGUAACGGCUUACCAAGGCAACGAUGGGUAGGGGUCCUGAGAGGGAGAUCCCCCACACUGGUACUGAGACACGGACCAGACUCCUACGGGAGGCAGCAGUGAGGAAUAUUGGUCAAUGGGCGCAAGCCUGAACCAGCCAUGCCGCGUGCAGGAAGACGGUCCUAUGGAUUGUAAACUGCUUUUAUACAGGAAGAAACCCUCCCACGUGUGGGAGCUUGACGGUACUGUAGGAAUAAGGAUCGGCUAAACUCCGUGCCAGCAGCCG
rnacentral:rRNA from 1 species